rnacentral:rRNA from 2 species
UAACAAGGAUUCCCCUAGUAACGGCGAGUGAAGCGGGAAGAGCUCAAAUUUGUAAUCUGGCUGUUCUGCAGUCCGAGUUGUAAUCUCGAGAAGCGUUAUCCGUGCCGGACCGCAUACAAGUCUGUUGGAAUACAGUUUCAUAGAGGGUGAGAAUCCCGUUCAUGAUGCGGAUGCCCGGUGCUCUGUGUUGCGCUUUCAAAGAGUCGAGUUGUUUGGGAAUGCAGCUCAAAUGGGUGGUAAAUUCCAUCUAAAGCUAAAUAUUGGGGAGAGACCGAUAGCGAACAAGUACCGUGAGGGAAAGAUGAAAAGCACUUUGGAAAGAGAGUUAAACAGUACGUGAAAUUGUUGAAAGGGAAACGCUUGAAGUCAGACGUGCAGUUUGGGAUUCAUCCUCUGGUGUAUUUCCUGUCUGCAGGCCAGCGUCAGUUUUGAGGGUCGGAUAAGGGUUUGGGGAAGGUGGCACCUCCGGGUGUGUUAUAGCCCCUUGCUGGAUACGGCUUUUGGGACUGAGGGAUGCAGCACGCCCUUGUGGCCGGGGCUUCGGCCCUGUCGUGCUUAGGAUGCU